rnacentral:rRNA from 1 species
UACGUAGGGUGCAAGCGUUGUCCGGAAUUAUUGGGCGUAAAGAGCUCGUAGGCGGUUUGUUGCGUCGGCUGUGAAAUCCCGAGGCUCAACCUCGGGUCUGCAGUCGAUACGAGCAAACUAGAGUGUUGCAGGGGAGACUGGGAAUUCCUGGUGUAGCGGUGAAAUGACGCAGAUAUCAGGAGGAACACCGGUGGCGAAGGCGAGUCUCUGGACAUUUCCUGACGCUGAGGCACGAAAGCCAGGGGAGCAAACGGG